rnacentral:lncRNA from 1 species
GAUCUACUCAGUGGUGGUGAUGCUGCCAAUGCUGCCUGGGGAAGAUGAGCCGCUGGAUGUGGCCCAGGUGACCAGCUACCUGGUGGAGGAGAAGCUGCUGCGGCCACUCUGAGAGCUGUCCGGGGCCAACGUGCUGGCUCAGACACCACCUGCUGCAGGGUCCCUGGGAGUAUCAUGCCCUAAUGGCUGGGUCCCAGCACGUGGUGACCUUCGACAGCCGGAUGUGGGACCUCAGUGCCCAGUGUGGCAGCGUCCUGCUGGCCCAAGCCUUUGCUCACAACACAGUCUCCCUGAUGCUGAGUCGGACGGACUCGGGGCUCACAGCCCUGACCAUGGAGCUGAAUCACAUGACCCUCAUCUUCUACCCCAGCCUGCAGGUGAGGAGAAGAGGCCUGAACUUCCCCUAGAGACCUGUGCCUGUGGCAGCUCACCUGGGGGAAUGGCCCUUUCAAGCUUGUCCCCUGGCUGUGGGUCAGCCCUCCUGCCCACCCGCUCUGGCCCACAGGCCUACAGGCUAUACAACUCCUCCCUGCUGGGGGAGAGCUGUCCAGACCUCCAGCUGCCUCCUGCCACAACAAAGAGGGACAUCCCCAGGAUUGAGCUGGCCAGUGAGGAAGGGGUCUCCAUCUCCUGUGACAUGCCCACCGGCCUCUGCAGCCUGACUCUGGGCCUCUGGCACCAUGGUCCCCUGUGGGAGGAUCACAGGCUCUUAGGAGCUCCUCAGCUUCCCUCCUCCCCUACAUGCAUAUCCGCAGGCCUUCUGGGCACCAACGACAAUGAAGCAGGCAAUGAGCUGAUGUUGCCAGAUGGCUCUGUGGCCCACAGCCUGGAGGAGCUCAGCCUGGCCUGGCAGGUGGAUGGUGACUGCAGGGCCACUGAGAAGACUCAGUAG